rnacentral:lncRNA from 1 species
CAUUUUUUUCCCCAUUUUCUGAAGCAGAUCUGGACGUCUUCUUUUGUGAAUGUCUUUAACUGCACAUCGUGGCUGUCUGGAUAUCUGGAAUUGACUCAAAAUAUGUACCUUUCAUUCAUUUCAACUUUGGAAAAGAGAAGAAAUCACAUCAUGCUAGACUCAGUGAAUAAAGGUGGAUGAGGACACACUGUAAUGUUUCUAUAAGCCUGCUUUUCCAUUACAUGGUACUUGGCAGUGUUCACCACAUUUUUUCUUGUACCUUUUAAUGACACUCAUGAAAGAAGAGAGAGCAACAGGAACACAAUGGGAAGUGUGAUUAUUUCUCAAAAUAUACGUGCAGAGAUCUGCAGGUUCCUGCAGGCCAGCAUGUGCUGCGGGAGGCCGGACUUCCAGUUUGCACUUACGUUCAGGGUCUUCCUUCAGGCAAACACCUGGAGGCCAUCAUCUGCAGAUGCCAGUCUAGAAGCAGAUGCGCACGGGUAGGAGAGCAGCAUUUUACGCCAUUAGAACAGCUGGGAGGAGAGGAAAAUGAAUGAGUUCUGCCUUCCUUUAUGUCAUGUAAGACGCCCUAAGAGCAUUCUCACCUGGAACCCAUUUUUCCAUCUCUCCAGGUCUUGGCCGGUUUGGAUGGAGACAGAAACUUGCCUUACUCAUCCUCCUAGGAUAAGAGGAAGCCUGUUCUUCUUUGACAUCAAUCACCACUGUUAAAAAUGUUGCUC